GAUGAACGCUAGCGGGAGGCUUAACACAUGCAAGUCGAGGGGUAAAGAGUAGCAAUACUUUGAGACCGGCGGACGGGUGCGUAACGCGUAUGCAACAUACCUUGUGCAGGGGGAUAGCCCGUGGAAACGCGGAUUAAUACCCCAUAUGUCAUUUGGGUCGCAUGGUCUGGAUGAUAAAACUGAGGUGGUAUAAGAUGGGCAUGCGUCUGAUUAGCUUGUUGGUAAGGUAACGGCUUACCAAGGCGACGAUCAGUAGGGGUUCUGAGAGGAUAAUCCCCCACACUGGUACUGAGACACGGACCAGACUCCUACGGGUGGCAG
rnacentral:rRNA from 1 species